AUGAGUUAGGGUCCUCCGGGCCCGACCUCCAACCCUUUGUUUAGCUACCAUGUUGCUUUGGCGGGCCCGUCUUUAACCGGACCGUCGGGGGUUUUUCAACCUCUGGCCAGUGCCCGUCAGUAGCCCACCACAAAUACUUUUUUAACCAUGUUAUAUCUGAAAAAUAGUUAAAUAAACUA
rnacentral:misc_RNA from 1 species